rnacentral:rRNA from 1 species
CCCUUAGAUGUCCGGGGCUGCACGCGCGCUACACUGAAGGAAUCAGCGUGCUAAAACCAUUGUCGAAAGGCAUUGGUAAACCCAUUAAAAUCCUACGUGAUUGGGAUCGGGAAUUGCAAUUAUUUCCCUUGAACGAGGAAUUCCCAGUAAGUGUGGGUCAUAAGCUCGCGUUGAUUACGUCCCUGCCCUUUGUACACACCGCCCGUCGCUGCCCGGGACUGAGCCGUUUCGAGAAACGCGGGGACUGCUGCUGUCGGGGCUUUCGGGCCUUGGCUUCGGUGGAAACCGCUUUAAUCGCAGUGGCUUGAACCGGGCAAAANUCGUAACA